GUGGGGAAUAUUGGGCAAUGGGCGAAAGCCUGACCCAGCAACGCCGCGUGAGUGAAGAAGGCCUUCGGGUUGUAAAGCUCUGUUAUAGUUGACGAAGGAAGUGACGGUAGGCUAUAAGGAAGCCCCGGCUAACUACGUGCCAGCAGCCGCGGUAAUACGUAGGGGGCGAGCGUUGUCCGGAAUGACUGGGCGUAAAGGGCGUGUAGGCGGCCAAUUAAGUCUGGAGUGAAAGUCCUGUUUUUAAGGUGGGAAUAGCUUUGGAUACUGGUUGGCUUGAGUGCGGAAGAGGUAAGUGGAAUUCCCAGUGUAGCGGUGAAAUGCGUAGAGAUUGGGAGGAACACCAGUGGCGAAGGCGACUUACUGGGCCGUAACUGACGCUGAGGCGCGAAAGCGUGGGGAGCGAACAGGAUUAGAAACCCUAGUAGUCC
rnacentral:rRNA from 1 species